GUCUUUUUGUAUUUAAUUUAAAGUUUAACCUGCCCAUUGAAUAAAUUUUAAAAGGCUGCAGUAUAUUGACUGUACAAAGGUAGCAUAAUCAUUAGUUUUUUAAUUGAAAACUUGUAUGAAUGGUUGAAUGAGAAAUUAACUUUUUUUUAAAAAAUAAUUGAAUUUUACUUUUUAGUUAAAAGGCUAAAAUAUAUUUAAAAGACGAGAAGACCCUAUAGAGUUUUAUAAUAAAUUUUUUAUUAUUUUAAAGGUUUAUUUUUUUUAAUAUUAAUUAUAUUAUUUUAUUGGGGUGAUAAUAAAACUUAAUAAACUUUUAUUAAUUGAAUAAUACAUUAAUAUAUGAGCGUUUGAUCCAAUUAUAUUGAUUAAAAAUUUAAAUUACCUUAGGGAUAACAGCGUAAUUUUUUUUUAAGUUCUUAUUAAUAAAAAAUUUUGCGACCUCGAUGUUGGAUUAAGAUUAAAUUUUAGGUGCAGUAGCUUAAAUUUUAAGUCUGUUCGACUUUUAAAUUCUU
rnacentral:rRNA from 1 species